GUGCCUAAUACAUGCAAGUCGAACGCUUCUUUUUCCACCGGAGCUUGCUCCACCGGAAAAAGAGGAGUGGCGAACGGGUGAGUAACACGUGGGUAACCUGCCCAUCAGAAGGGGAUAACACUUGGAAACAGGUGCUAAUACCGUAUAACAAUCAAAACCGCAUGGUUUUGAUUUGAAAGGCGCUUUCGGGUGUCGCUGAUGGAUGGACCCGCGGUGCAUUAGCUAGUUGGUGAGGUAACGGCUCACCAAGGCCACGAUGCAUAGCCGACCUGAGAGGGUGAUCGGCCACAUUGGGACUGAGACACGGCCCAAACUCCUACGGGAGGCAGCAGUAGGGAAUCUUCGGCAAUGGACGAAAGUCUGACCGAGCAACGCCGCGUGAGUGAAGAAGGUUUUCGGAUCGUAAAACUCUGUUGUUAGAGAAGAACAAGGAUGAGAGUAACUGUUCAUCCCUUGACGGUAUCUAACCAGAAAGCCACGGCUAACUACGUGCCAGCAGCCGCGGUAAUACGUAGGUGGCAAGCGUUGUCCGGAUUUAUUGGGCGUAAAGCGAGCGCAGGCGGUUUCUUAAGUCUGAUGUGAAAGCCCCCGGCUCAACCGGGGAGGGUCAUUGGAAACUGGGAGACUUGAGUGCAGAAGAGGAGAGUGGAAUUCCAUGUGUAGCGGUGAAAUGCGUAGAUAUAUGGAGGAACACCAGUGGCGAAGGCGACUUUCUGGUCUGUAACUG
rnacentral:rRNA from 1 species